GACGAACGCUGGCGGCGUGCUUAACACAUGCAAGUCGAACGGAAAGGCCCUGCUUUUGUGGGGUGCUCGAGUCGCGAACGGGUGUGUAACACGUGAGUAACCUGCCCUUGACUUUGGGAUAACUGCAGGAAACUGGGGCUAAUACCGGAGAGGUGCUCCUGCUGCAUGGGGGGGGUUGGAAAGUUUGGGCGGUUGUGGCUGGACUGCGGGGUUGUCAGCUUGUGGGGGGGGUACUGGCCUACGAGGGCUUUGAUGGGUGGCCGGCCUGAGAGGGUGACCGGGCACAUUGGGACUGCGAUACGGCCCAGAGUCCUACGGGAGACAGCAGUGGGGAAUAUUGCACAAUGGGGGGAAGCCUGAUGCAGCAACGCCGCGUGCGGGAUGACGGCCUUCGGGUUGGAAACCGCUUUCGCCUGUGACGAAGCGUGAGUGACGGUAAUGGGUAAAGAAGCACCGGCUAACUACGUG
rnacentral:rRNA from 1 species